rnacentral:rRNA from 1 species
UUGAACGCUGGCGGCAUGCCUUACACAUGCAAGUCGAACGGUAGAGGGGCAACCCUUGAGAGUGGCGAACGGGUGAGUAAUAUAUCGGAACGUGCCCAGUCGCGGGGGAUAACGCAGCGAAAGCUGCGCUAAUACCGCAUACGAUCUAUGGAUGAAAGCGGGGGAUCGCAAAGACCUCGCGCGAUUGGAGCGGCCGAUAUCAGAUUAGGUAGUUGGUGGGGUAAAAGCCCCACCAAGCCGACGAUCUGUAGCUG